rnacentral:lncRNA from 1 species
AAAGAAAAGAAAAGAAAAGAAAAGAAAAGAAAAGAAAAGAAAAGAAAAGAAAAGAAAAGAAAAGAAAAGAAAAGAAAAGAAAAGAAAAGAAAAGACGUUAACAGCCCAGCUUGCAGCUGUGCCAGAUGGAGCGGGUGGAAGUUGCUUCAGGGGGGGCAUGUGUGGGCAAUGGUAGAAGUACAGGAGAGAUCAGUUCUCUCUUUGCUGCUAGAAGCCAAAGUAAUCUCCCUGUGUGGUCAACUGUCAGCUCUUCCUUCUCUCCUUGGGCAGGAGGAAAGGAACUUUCUGUGUCAGCCCCACAAUGCCAUGCUGGAUGGGACACAUGGAAGUAUCUCCAGGAUCCACAGUGGAAGUGGUAGUGAAGGUGCUGCUGGGAGCUGCCUUUUGAAGUCUGGUGGAGAUACUCAGAUACUGCCAGAGAGAAGACAGAAAGGAUGAGUCUGAAUAGGAACAGUCCGAAGAGGAACAGGAAGCACGUUCCUCUGUGAUUACAGUGGGCUAGUGUCCAGGCAUUUGCAUGCAUUAUCUGAAUUACUGGGGAGAGGCUUAAGGCUACAGGAGUUAAAGCCAAUGAUUUCCAUAUCAAAGGGCUUUUUGAAUAAGUAUCAGAACAGACAUUUCCCUCUCUAUGUGUUACGGGUGCUUUUUGUUUUUUUUUUUUUCUUUCUUCCUGGGAUCAGACAAAGUAACAGCUUAAUCUUCUUAAAGAAGCCUUGAUAAUUUGUUAAGCAAAAAUCUGGCUCUGGGAUGAGGUUCAUAACUUAAAGCCAUAGGUGGCCAACCUUGAGCAAACAAGAAAUGUCUAGAUUUGGAAAAAGGAGAUGAAAUAAUUUCUGUAAUUUUCAGGGGAAAAAUGCCUAAUGUCUCCUAAAACAUAUCAUACUUCCAGGGUGUAUUAAUGUAAUUUCCAAAAACUAAGAGAACUAUACUUUAAAGUCUGAGUCACACCAUCUGGUUCUGUCACUGCUCAGUGCCCAAAGCAUAUGGUCAGAGAGAGCAUAUUUCUUUUCUCCUUCUCUUCUCUCUCCCUUUUUAUUCUGCCUAGCCUCAGUAUCUUAGUUUUCCUUACAAUGAAUUUAUGUGCAUAAGCUAUUUAUUUGCCUUCUCUCUUAAUCUAUCUCUGUGGUUGUGAACAUUACUUAAGCUGGACCGGUAACUCCACAUUUCACCUUGUCAGAAAAAUUAUUCACCUUGAUGCAUAUUCAGUCUCCUAAAUCAUGAUGUAUAAAGAAUUAAAUUGUUCCUAAAUAUGUUCAUUGUGUCAUUUUGCUGCUUGUUUCCCAUCACCAAGAACCAUUUUCAUGUCAAUUUACCAUUCUGUUUCCAAACUCCCAGGUACAGGGAAAU